rnacentral:rRNA from 1 species
GAUGAACGCUGGCGGCGUGCCUAAUACAUGCAAGUCGAGCGAACAGACGAGGAUCUUGCUCCUCUGACGUUAGCGGCGGACGGGUGAGUAACACGUGGAUAACCUACCUAUAAGACUGGGAUAACUUCGGGAAACCUGAUCUAAUACCGGAUAAUAUAUUGAACCGCAUGGUUCAUUAGUGAAAGACGGUUUUGCUGUCACUUAUAGAUGGAUCCGCGCCGCAUUAGCUAGUUGGUAAGGUAACGGCUUACCAAGGCAACGAUGCGUAGCCGACCUGAGAGGGUGAUCAGCCACACUGGAACUGAGACACGGUCCAGACUCCUACGGGAGGCAGCAGUAGGGAAUCUUCCGCAAUGGGCGAAAGCCUGACGGAGCAACGCCGCGUGAGUGAUGAAGGUCUUCGGAUCGUAAAACUCUGUUAUUAGGGAAGAACAAAUGUGUAAGUAACUAUGCACGUCUUGACGGUACCUAAUCAGAAAGCAACGGCUAACUACGUG